GACAGAGGUGCCAAGCGUUAGGCGGAAUCACUGGGCUUAAAGCGUGUGUAGGCGGUUGUCUAAGUACCUUGUGAAAUCCCACGGCUCAACCGUGGAACUGCUUGGUAUACUGGAUGUCUUGAGCCAGCUAGGGGCUACCGGAACAAAUGGUGGAGCGGUGAAAUGCGUAGAUAUCAUUUGGAACGCCAAUGGUGAAAACAGGUAGCUGGGGCUGUGCUGACGCUGAGACACGAAAGCCAGGGGAGCAAACGGG
rnacentral:rRNA from 1 species